rnacentral:rRNA from 1 species
CGGUGAACAACCGGAGGAAGGUGGGGAUGACGUCAAGUCAUCAUGGCCCUUACGGCCUGGGCUACACACGUGCUACAAUGGUCGGUACAAAGGGUUGCCAAGCCGCGAGGUGGAGCUAAUCCCAUAAAACCGAUCGUAGUCCGGAUCGCAGUCUGCAACUCGACUCCAUGAAGUUGGAAUCGCUAGUAAUCGUGGAUCAGCAUGCCACGGUGAAUACGUUCCCGGGCCUU